AACGAACGCUGGCGGCAUGCCUAACACAUGCAAGUCGAACGAGAUCUUCGGGUCUAGUGGCGCACGGGUGCGUAACGCGUGGGAAUCUGCCCUUUGGUUCGGAAUAACAGUUGGAAACGACUGCUAAUACCGGAUGAUGACGAGAGUCCAAAGAUUUAUCGCCAGAGGAUGAGCCCGCGUAGGAUUAGCUAGUUGGUGUGGUAAAGGCGCACCAAGGCGACGAUCCUUAGCUGGUCCGAGAGGAUGAUCAGCCACACUGGGACUGAGACACGGCCCAGACUCCUACGGGAGGCAGCAGUGGGGAAUAUUGGACAAUGGGCGAAAGCCUGAUCCAGCAAUGCAGCGUGAGUGAUGAAGGCCUUAGGGUUGUAAAGCUCUUUUACCCGGGAUGAUAAUGACAGUACCGGGAGAAUAAGCUCCGGCUAACUCCGUGCCAGCCGCCGCGGUAA
rnacentral:rRNA from 1 species